rnacentral:rRNA from 2 species
GCAUCCGUAGCCGGCUGCUCAAGUUUCCGGUUAAAUCCACACGCUUAACGUAUGGGCUGCCGGAAAUACUGUUCAGCUAGGGAGUGGGAGAGGUAGACGGUACUCGAUAGGAAGGGGUAAAAUCCUUUGAUCUAUUGAUGACCACCUGUGGCGAAGGCGGUCUACCAGAACACGUUCGACGGUGAGGGAUGAAAGCUGGGGGAGCAAACCGGAUUAGAUACCCGGGUAGUCCCAGCUGUAAACGAUGCAGACUCGGUGAUGCAUUGGCUUAUGGCCAGUGCAGUGCCGCAGGGAAGCCGUUAAGUUUGCCGCCUGGGAAGUACGUACGCAAGUAUGAAACUUAAAGGAAUUGGCGGGGGAGCA